UACGUAGGGUGCGAGCGUUGUCCGGAUUUAUUGGGCGUAAAGGGCUCGUAGGCGGCGUGUCGCGCGGGAGUGAAAGCCCGCUGCUUAACGGCGGGGUGGGCUUCCGGUACGGGGCAUCGCUGGAGUGCGGCAGGGGGAGACUGGAAUUCCUGGUGUAGCGGUGGAAUGCGCAGAUAUCAGGAGGAACACCGGUGGCGAAGGCGGGUCUCUGGGGCCGAUACUGACACUGAGGAGCGAAAAGCGUGGGGGAGCGAACAGG
rnacentral:rRNA from 1 species